CGGAAGGAGAAAAAAAUCUUCAGCAAAUUCUUCAAAGUCACAAUUGUCAGCACUGCCAAUCAUGUCGCCACAAUCGGGGUGAUGUCGGUCUGAAGAGAAGAGACUGAGCUGCACUUCAACCACAGCGAGUACCACACCGCUAAGUGGAUACUUUCAAGGGAAAAGAGGUCGCAUUUCAACCCAAACUUCCUGAAGGAGAAAAAAAUCUUCAGCAAAUUCUUCAAAGUCACAAUUGUCGGCUCUGCCAAUCAAGUCGCCACAAUCGGGGUGAUGUUGGUCUGAAGAGAAGAGACUGAGCUGCACGUCAACCACAGCGAGUACCACACCGCUAAGUGGAUACUUUCAAGGGAAAAGAGGACGCAUUUCAACCCAACUUCCGGAAGGAGAAAAAAAUCUUCAGCAAAUUCUUCAAAGUCACAAUUGUCAGCACUGCCAAUCAUGUCGCCACAAUCGGGGUGAUGUCGGUCUGAAGAGAAGAGACUGAGCUGCACUUCAACCACAGCGAGUACCACACCGCUAAGUGGAUACUUUCAAGGGAAAAGAGGUCGCAUUUCAACCCAAACUUCCUGAAGGAGAAAAAAAUCUUCAGCAAAUUCUUCAAAGUCACAAUUGUCGGCUCUGCCAAUCAAGUCGCCACAAUCGGGGUGAUGUCGGUCUGAAGAGAAGAGACUGAGCUGCACGUCAACCACAGCGAGUACCACACCGCUAAGAUGAAUGCAAGCAACAGGAUAUCUGAACAGAGGAUGCAACCGGAACAUGGAUUUCUUCCCCUCCCCUUUCCUUUGAUUAACUUUCCGAAUUCCAAUCAGUACCUGAAGAAUUACUGCAGUCAUGUGACAUUCUAUGUUAACGGUGAUAUCUACGGAUAUGAACAGCAGUUCAUUUACAAUGUACUUUCUGGUCAUAUCGCCGGCCGACAUUACCCUGCUUCAGUGCCGGACUGGCGAAGAGAGGGGUGUCAAUUCGCCUGUCGAUCCACAAGUCCAAAGGGCUUGCCUGGAUUGGGGCAAUGCCCAUAAGAUCUAGGGCGCAGACAGGACUUUGCAAAAAGGGCCAAAACCUGGCACCUCUUACGUGCGGCGGGCUCAGUAGACUAUUUCUGUGCACUUUGCUAAUUGGGAAUUGUGCUUGUAUAUGGACUGUAUGAAAGAAACUGUAUGCAGCUUUCCAAAUUCCAAUCAGCACCUGGAGAAUUAUUACAGAGGUGUGAUAUCCUAUGUUAGCGCUGACGCCUUGAGAUGUGAACUGUAAUUCACAAAUAACUUACUUUCUGUUCAGAUUGCCACCCUGCAUUAUUCUGACUUCAUUGAGUGCUGGCAGUAGUGACAUUGAACAAUUGUGCUGAAGUAUCAUUUUUAAGCUUUUUGUCAUUAAAAUCUUCCGGUCUAAAUCC